UAGCGGCGAGCGAACAGGGAGGAGCCCAGCACGGAAUCCCGCGCGUGAAACAUAGCGCUGGGAAAUGUCGUGUGAGGGACGCUCCGCAACCCGAAGUUCGUCGGCGAGUUCAAGUCUCCCUUGAACGGGGCCACAGCCCGCAGAGGGUGCCAGGCCCGUAGCGACCGUUGACGUACUCGGGGGGAGCCGUCCUCAGAGUCGUGUUCCUUGAGAGUGGAGCACUAAGUGGGUGGUAAACUCCAUUUAAGGCUAAAUAUGACCACGAGACCGAUAGCGAACAAGUACCGUGAGGGAAAGUUGAAAAGAACUUUGAAGAGAGAGUUCAAUAGUACGUGAAACCGUUCAGGGGUAAACGGGAGGGAUCCGAAAGGUCGAACGGGGAGACUCAAUCCUGUCCGCUCGCCGACGCCCGAUCCGCGUCUCCGGAUGUCGAUGGCCGCCGGCCGCUCCGCAAGGUGCGUGCCGCGUUAGGUCGUCGGUACCGGCCGGUUGGGCUUGCUUGGCGGCGGCGGGCUGCACUUCUCCCCCGCUAGGACGUCGCGACCCGUUGGAUACGGGGUCUCAGGCCCGGGAUGGAGCCCGAGGGCACCGCCGAGGAAUCUCGGGUUCACGGCGCCCCGGACGCCCGGCUGCCCGGCCCCAGUCCGGCGGUAGGAACAGAGGAGAUGGCCCGCUCUCGCGAGCGUUCGGCCCGGUGGGCAAGCUCCGCGGGUAGUGCGGUGCGAUGCAGCGUCACGCAGCAUCCCCGCCUCCCACGGGCUGCUGGCCUCCGGAGUCCUCGAACAGCUUUGGCCCUUCUCCCGUCCGCGGCGCUAUUGCUUCGGAUGCCUUCCCGACCCGUCUUGAAACACGGACCAAGGAGUCUAACAUGUGCGCGAGCCACUGGGAAUCGCUAAAGCCAGAGGCGAAAUGAAAGUGGGGCGGCCUCGUGCCGCCAAGGGAGGACAGCAACCCUUCGCGGGAAGCUCGCACUCCCGGGGCGCCCCGGCUUCGGCCGUGGGCGCACUCCGAGCGUACACGUUGGGACCCGAAAGAUGGUGAACUAUGCCUGGUCAGGACGAAGUCAGGGGAAACCCUGAUGGAGGUCCGCAGCGAUUCUGACGUGCAAAUCGAUCGUCAGAGCUGGGUA
rnacentral:rRNA from 1 species